GGGUGCGUAGCUCAGCGGUAGAGCUCUGGUUUUACACACCAGCGGUCGGCGGUUCGAUCCCGUCCGCGCCCACC
rnacentral:tRNA from 1 species